rnacentral:lncRNA from 1 species
GAGCUUAAUUGUAUGCGAUGAAAAGGUUAAGGUUUGGGGUUGUACGGGGGAAAAUUGAAAAAGCAAGUAAAAGGGCAUUGAGCUCAAUUGUUGUGAAAAGAGAAAAAAAAAUCAUGAGAAAAAGAAAAGAAAAGAAGAAAAGCAUGAAGAUGAGCUCAAUGAAAAAGAAAAGAAAAGGGAAGAAGUUGGGAAUGAGAGAUAUUGGUGAGAGAGUGNAGUUAUAUACGGACAAUUCGUAUAUAAGUUAUAUACGGAAAAUCCGUAUAUAAGUUAUAUACGGAAAAUCCGUAUAUAAGUUAUAUACGGACAAUCCGUAUAUAAGUUAUAUACGGACAAUCCGUAUAUAAGUUAU